rnacentral:rRNA from 1 species
UAACAGGAUUCCCCUAGUAACUGCGAGUGAAGCGGGAAGAGCUCAAAUUUGUAAUCUGGCGGUCUCUGGCCGUCCGAGUUGUAAUCUGUAGAGGCGUCGUCCGCGUCGGCCCGUGUACAAGUCUCCUGGGAUGGAGCGUCAUAGAGGGUGAGAAUCCCGUCCAUGACACGGACCACCGAUGCUCUGUGAGGUGCCCUCGAAGAGUCGCGUUGUUUGGGAAUGCAGCGCAAAAUGGGUGGUAAAUUCCAUCUAAGGCUAAAUAUUGGCGAGAGACCGAUAGCGAACAAGUACCGUGAGGGAAAGAUGAAAAGCACUUUGAAAAGAGAGUUAAACAGUACGUGAAAUUGUUGAAAGGGAAACGCUUGAAGUCAGUCGCGUCUCGUGGCACUCAGCCUUGCUUCGGCUUGGUGUACUUGCCUUGGGAUGGGUCAACAUCAAUUUUGGCCGGUGGACAAAGGCGAGGGGAAUGUAGCGUCGUUUUGGCGACGUGUUAUAGCCUCUUGUUGAAUACACCGGCUGGGAUUGAGGACUGCAGCACGCCCUUGUGGCUGGGGGUUCGCCUCAUGUAACGUGCUUAGGAUGUUGGCAUAAUGGCUUUAAGCGACCCGUCUUGAAACACGGACCAAGGAGUCUAACAUGCUUGCGAGUGUUCGGGUGGAAAACCCUUGCGCGUAAUGAAAGUGAAAGUUGGGAGCCUUCGCAAGGGGGUGCACCGACGCCCGGCCCUGACGUUCUCUGACGGUGCUGCGGUAGAGCAAGUAUGUUGGGACCCGAAAGAUGGUGAACUAUGCCUGAAUAGGGCGAAGCCAGAGGAAACUCUGGUGGAGGCUCGUAGCGAUUCUGACGUGCAAAUCGAUCGUCAAAUUAGGG